ACGUAGGGUGCGAGCGUUAAUCGGAAUUACUGGGCGUAAAGCGUACGCAGGCGGCUGGGUAAGACAGGUGUGAAAUCCCCGGGCUUAACCUGGGAACUGCAUUUGUGACUGCACGACUGGAGUGCGGCAGAGGGGGGUGGAAUACCACGUGUAGCAGUGAAAUGCGUAGAGAUGUGGAGGAACACCGAUGGCGAAGGCA
rnacentral:rRNA from 1 species